rnacentral:rRNA from 1 species
GUGCACCAGGCGAGAAACCUUCGCAAUGCGGGAAACCGCGACGAGGGGACUCCCAGUGCCUACGCUCAGCGUAGGCUGUUCCCGAGCCUAGAAAGCUCGGGGAGUAAGGGCUGGGUAAGACGGGUGCCAGCCGCCGCGGUAAUACCCGCAGCCCGAGUGGUGGCCACUAUUAUUGGGCCUAAAGCGUCCGUAGCCGGCCCGGUAAAUGCCUGGGUAAAUCGUGAGGCCUAACCUCACGAAUUCCGGGUAGACUGCCGGGCUAGGGACCGGAGGAGGGAGAGGGUACUCCAGGGGUAGGGGUGAAAUCCUGUAAUCCCUGGAGGACCACCGGUGGCGAAGGCGCUCUCCUAGGACGGGUCCGACGGUGAGGGACGAAAGCCAGGGGAGCGAACCGGAUUAGAUA